UACGGAGGGUGCGAGCGUUUGUCCGGAAUUACUGGGCGUAAAGCGCGCGUAGGUGGUUUGUUAAGUUGAAUGUGAAAUCCCCGGGCUCAACCUGGGAACUGCAUGCAAAACUGGCAAGCUAGAGUAUGGUAGAGGGUGGUGGAAUUUCCUGUGUAGCGGUGAAAUGCGUAGAUAUAGGAAGGAACACCAGUGGCGAAGGCGACCACCUGGACUGAUACUGACACUGAGGUGCGAAAGCGUGGGGGAGCAAACAGG
rnacentral:rRNA from 1 species